AUUGAACGCUGGCGGAAUGCUUUACACAUGCAAGUCGAACGGUAGAGGGGGCAACCCCUCGAGAGUGGCGAACGGGUGAGUAAUAUAUCGGAACGUGCCCAGUCGUGGGAGAUAACGUAGCGAAAGUUACGCUAAUACCGCAUACGAUCUAAGGAUGAAAGCGGGGGAUCGCAAGACCUCGCGCGAUUGGAGCGGCCGAUAUCAGAUUAGGUAGUUGGUGGGGUAAAGGCUCACCCAGCCAACGAUCUGUAGCUGGUCUGAGAGGACGACCAGACACACUGGAACUGGGACGCGGGCCAGACUCCGACGGGAGGCAGCAGUGGGGAAUUUUGGACGAUGGACGCAAGUCUGAUCCAGCCAUUCCGCGUGCAGGAUGGAGGCCCUCGGGUUGUAAACUGCUUUUGUACGGAACGAAAAGGUCUCUCUUAAUACGGGGGGCUCAUGACGGUACCGUAAGAAUAAGCACCGGCUAACUACGUGCCAGCCGCGGCCGUAA
rnacentral:rRNA from 1 species